CCCUCGAUGCCUAGGUUGCCGCCUCUAUCUCCACUUCGUCCGUUCCUGCAUAGGCUUUGUACGGCUUUGGUAGUCAGCCCGCCGGAGCCCAAAAUAAGGACAGGGACAUCGGUCUCGCCUGCGUCGUCGUCAAGCGCAAGCUCCUGGUGGAUGCUCUGCGCCGUCCUUGGCGCCUUCGUCCUCGUCGAUGUCUCUACCAUCAUCAGCCUACUCCAUGGCCUGCCAUCAGACAAGUACAUCCACGCUCUCAAGAAGGUGCUCCAAUUCUUCAACCGCAGAAAUCGAUGAUGAGUGAUGCGUCCGCUAGGCGAUCAAUUGCGUUUAUAGCAUCAUCAGCUGAUCGCUUAUGCCCCUUUGAAGAUACAGCACCUAGUCCGGAUGCAGUAGAGCUCGCACAUAUGUCUUGCAGGCCUAUCCAACUAGGCCACACUUUAUCACGGAUGACGAAUCUGCAAAUUGAAUGCUGCUGAUGAAAACAAGUUCAGGAAGAGAUCCCUUGUCUUCCCAGCAGCGGCCAACUGCCAAUAAUCGGUGUUCCCAGCCUAGCGCCGGCGGCCAGGGAAUCGGUGAUCACAACAGGUGUUAGCGGCUAGCCAUUGAACUAGGUUUCCAGAUCUGUUUUGCCGAGGUUUGUUCUACCACCGUCCAGUUUAUAUAGAAGCGAUGGAAAAAAUGGCGCGUGGAAGUGGCUGCGGGAGGGAAGAAAUGGCGCCAAUAAGUUUGUUGAGGGAGGAGCGGAGAGAAAAAAGUUUGUUACCGAGAGUUUUCUGUAAUCUUGUUUUCUCAAAAACGAGUAUUAGUCGUUUUUGAUAAAACGCAGUUUCCUGGCUUUGUGGAAACAUAAUUUUAGAUAUCCACGCUUUUGUUGAAGGCCCCAAACAUGGUUUUAGUUUGUUGGGCGGUUAUAUGAG